UACGUAGGGUGCGAGCGUUAAUCGGAAUUACUGGGCGUAAAGCGUGCGUAGGCGGUUCUCCAAGUCCGUUGUGAAAGCCCUGGGCUCAACCUGGGAAUGGCAUUGGAUACUGGCGAUCUAGAGUGCGGUAGAGGGCAGUGGAAUUCCCGGUGUAGCAGUGAAAUGCGUAGAGAUCGGGAGGAACAUCUGUGGCGAAGGCGACUGCCUGGACCAGCACUGACACUGAGGCACGAAAGCGUGGGGAGCAAACGGG
rnacentral:rRNA from 1 species